GGAAACCUAAAUAUAGCAUAUAAUAUAUAAAAUUCUUCCAUGUUUAUGUUUGAUCUUUACCAAACUGCAUGUAGCCUUUUUGGACCAGGCUUUUAGAUAAGGAUAAAUUGGCCUAAAAUCUUUGCAUCUCUUUUCAAAAAAGCUCCUAAUGGAAUCUAUUCCCAUCCCAUCCCAUCCCAUCCAAUGCUUUGCUUAAUUGGCUAUAUUCCUUGAGUUUUGCAGUAUA
rnacentral:misc_RNA from 1 species